rnacentral:rRNA from 1 species
GAAUCAUGGCUCAGGACGAACGCUGGCGGCGCGCCUAACACAUGCAAGUCGAACGAGCGAGAGAGAGCUUGCUUUCUCGAGCGAGUGGCGAACGGGUGAGUAACACGUGAGGAACCUGCCUCAAAGAGGGGGACAACAGUUGGAAACGACUGCUAAUACCGCAUAAGCCCACAGGUCGGCAUCGACCAGAGGGAAAAGGAGCAAUCCGCUUUGAGAUGGCCUCGCGUCCGAUUAG